rnacentral:rRNA from 1 species
UACGGAGGGGGCGAGCGUUAUUCGGAAUUAUUGGGCGUAAAGGGCGCGUAGGCGGCCUAGCAAGUCAAAGGUGAAAUCUCCUGGCUCAACUGGGAGGGUGCGCUGGAAACUGCGGUGCUAGAGUGCGGGAGAGGAAAGCGGAAUUCCUGGUGUAGCGGUGAAAUGCGUAGAGAUCAGGAGGAACACCUGUGGUGUAGACGGCUUUCUGGACCGUGACUGACGCUGAGGUACGAAAGCGUGGGGAGCAAACAGG